rnacentral:lncRNA from 12 species
AUGAGGAAGGAAAGACAAUCCCCCAGAACACAGGGCAGCCUGUCGGAACUGGGACUCGCACGCGGCCCACGCACAUGUCCACCUCCAGCAGGGUGGGGACGACCCAGCAGAGAACCGCACCCCGCUCGGGGAAGACGGCCAGCAGCUGGGCCCCAGCCCCCUCGUGCUGCCGCAGAGCCGUCCCGUUCCCAGUGUAGACCUGAUCGAAACGACGUCUUCACCAGCAGCCUCGACGGAGGGAUUCGGAGGAGCACGCGUCCUGACGGCCCCCAGGAGUGGCGAGGUCCUCCCGCAGCGGGACCCUCCUCAGCUGCCAGGAUGGAGGAGACUCGGCUUUGUGCAACAGGAUAUGGAGAAUCUCACAACCGUUACGUUAAGCAAAGAAAGCUGGACGCGGAGGACACGGAUCCUCUGGGAUCCGUCGCUGUGGGAUCUGACUGUAGCCCCAGCACCAGGCCGCAGCAUGGGACAGAGUGACGUCCCUUCGCCCUUGGUGCGGACAUUCUUCACGCCAGGAGCUUCUCAGCUGAUAAGCCUCCGUCAGCAUCUCCGCGGGAGCACUGCGUGCUUGCCGAAACCACAGCGUCCGGGCAGCCCCGAUGUGUCCGCGCCUGAGCGUCCUGCACAGGCACAGGCCGGCAGCCCGCGCGCCACCCUCCCCACCCCCGGGACAGGCGGCCGGUGCAUGGAGCUGACCGGUCACUUACACUCGGGGCCUUAGACCCUUGAAAGGCGGAGUGAAUUCAUGUUACCAGGGGGCCGCAGUCCGCCAGGCAGACCUGGGCCAGUGGAUGCACCUCGGGGGCCCCGUGGCCUGAUCCGUCGGGCGGAGCGCAUGAGGGUCCGUCCUUCCGUGCUCCGGGGCUGGCCCGGCUCACCCGGGUGCAAACGAGAACCACAAGUGAACCGUCUCGAACGUGUGGAUGUCGUCCUAGGACUAACACGCAUCCUCGGGUAGAGAAUAAUCAUAAUCUUCAGUGAACAAGAAAACUACCUAAAAUGAUAACAAAUGCGAGCAAAUCCCCUUGAUUACAAAAUACAGAUACGAUUCAGACACGGUUUUCUCUGGCUGCAAAAUGAUAUGUUAUUAAGGUCUCGGCGUAACAGCAGAGAUUUUUCAUCAUCGACUGUGCGCGUUUUGGAGGGACGCUCUGUGCCACGGACGUCUCCUCGCCGGCUGCCCAAGGAGCUGAACUGGAAGAUAUUUAAUACGGAACUAUAAUAGAAUUCAGUGCUCAUUAUUCAAGUGCAGGCACGGGUUCUGGCCCACGGUAAUUAUUAAAAUCAUGUUUAUGCCAAGUAAUGCAAUGAACGUCACCUAUUUUUGACCUGGCUGUGCACAGAAGUGGGGGAGGCGAUGUUUUACAUCUUAUCAAUUGGAUUUAGAAUGUGUUUGUGCUGCGGCAGCGAGCUUGAGGUCUGUUCACGGUGAUUAGCAGCGCAGCUGGCGGACACAUGGCUGUCAGGGCCCCCACCC